CCUAAAUAAUUACUAAGUGGUAAAGGAUGUAAUAGUACCUAGACAACCAGGACAUUAGCCUAGAAGCAGCGAUUGUUUAAAAAGUGCGUAAUAGCUUACUGGUCAAGUGCUUUUGCGCCGAAAAUGUAUGGGACUAAGUAAUUUGCCGAAACUGUGAAAAAUUUGGUAGAAGAGCGUUCUAUUAUUGUUUGAAGCAACAGUGAAAACAGUUGUGGACUAAGUAGAAGUGAGAAUGUCAGCUUAAGUAACGAAAACAUUGGUUGAAAUCCAAUGCUCCGAAAACCUAAGGGUUCCUUCGCAAGGUUCGUCCACGAAGGGUUAGUCAGGUUCUAAGAUGAGGUCUGUAGACGUAGUUGAUGGACAACGGGUUAAUAUUCCCGUACUAUACUUUAUACAGCUAAGAAGGACGAAAAAGGUUAGGUCAGCCAAAGAUUGGUUGUUUUGGUUCAAAUUUUUAGGUGUUGAGAAAUAUAAGACAAAAUGUAUUUUGAGCUGAGAGAUGAGUACGAAACACUACGGUGUUAAAAGUGAUUGAAAUCAUGUUUCCAAGAAAAUUUCUUGUAGUGUGUAAUGUAAAGUAUACCUGUACCUUAAACUGACACAGGUGGGUUAGUAGAGAAUACUAAGGAGCGCGAGAUAACUCUUUUUAAGGAACUCGGCAAAAUAACCCUGUAACUUCGGGAGAAGGGGUGCCCUAUUAAAAUAGGGUCGCAGUGACCAGACCCAAGCGACUGCUUACCAAAAGCACAGGUCUCCGCCAAGUUGAAAAACAAUGUAUGGGGGCUGACGCCUGCCCAGUGCCGGAAGGUUAAAGAAAUUGGUUAGUCUUUUUUUAAGGCAAAGCUGGUGACUAAAGCCCUGGUGAACGGCAGCAGUAACUAUAACUGUUCUAANGUAGCGAAAUUCCUUGUCGGGUAAGUUCCGACCCGCACGAAAGGCGUAACGAUUUGGGUGCUGUCUCAAAAAGAGACUCGGUGAAAUAGAAUUGACUGUGAAGAUGCGGUCUACUUGCACUUGGACAGAAAGACCCUAUGAAGCUUUACUAUAACUUGAGAUUGUUUUUGGACUUUUUUUGCGCAGCAUAAGUGGGAGGCAUUGAACUUCUUUUUCGGAAGCAGGGAGCCAUAAGUGAGAUACCACUCUUAAAAAGUUAAAAAUCUAAAGCCAUUUUUUCAUCAAGAUGUCUGACAUUCUUAGGCGGGUAGUUUUACUGGGGCGGUAGCCUCCUAAAAGGUAACGGAGGCGUACAAAGGUUUUCUCAAACUGGACGGAAAUUAGUUGUAGAGUGUAAAGACAUAAGAAAGCUUAACUGUUAGACUCACAAGUCAAGCAGGGACGAAAGUCGGUCUUAGUGAUCCGACGGUGCUGUGUGGAAAGGCCGUCGCUUAACGGAUAAAAGUUACUCUAGGGAUAACAGGCUGAUCUCCCCCAAGAGUUCACAUCGACGGGGAGGUUUGGCACCUCGAUGUCGGCUCAUCGCAACCUGGAGCGGUAGUACGUUCCAAGGGUUGGGCUGUUCGCCCAUUAAAGCGGUACGUGAGCUGGGUUCAGAACGUCGAGAGACAGUUCGGUCCAUAUCCGGUGUGAGCGUUAGAGCAUUGAAAGGAGCUUUCCUUAGUACGAGAGGACCGGGAAAGACACACCACUGGUGUACCAGUUCUUGUGCCAACAGGAAAUGCUGGGUAGUCAAGUGUGGA
rnacentral:rRNA from 1 species